rnacentral:miRNA from 1 species
UAGCUGUAAAUGUGUGUUUUUUAUGUUUUGUAGCUUUAUCUAAGGUGAUAAAAUGUAAAAAAAAAAAGGCACAUUCUAGACACAAUGGUGUA